rnacentral:rRNA from 1 species
UACAGAGGGUGCGAGCGUUAAUCGGAAUUACUGGGCGUAAAGGGCUCGUAGGCGGCCAACUAAGUCAGACGUGAAAUCCCUCGGCUUAACCGGGGAACUGCGUCUGAUACUGGAUGGCUUGAGUUCGGGAGAGGGAUGUGGAAUUCCAGGUGUAGCGGUGAAAUGCGUAGAUAUCUGGAGGAACACCGGUGGCGAAGGCGGCAUCCUGGACCGAGAUUGACGCUGAGGCGCGAAAGCUAGGGGAGCAAACGGG